GUCGGCCUACUGACGCCUUGUUGUUUUACCGACAUAAGCAAUUCUUUAUCUCUCGCUUCUUCGUAUAUGACACCCAAGAUCCAGGUAUACGAACGCAAGCUCCGUUGUUAAUCUCAAUAUCAACAUCCAUCAAGAAGAAGCUGCAUCUUCACGUAGACCAGCAUCUGACGUACAGCGAUGAGGAGGGUAUAAAAGGAUCUGUAUUACUAGGCCUGACUCAUUUUUUCAUUGCGAAACCUCGUAUGUGUCGCUAUUUUCAUUGCGUUGUCAAUUCUUAGGGUUACCAUUGUUAAUAUAUCUUACAGCAUAUAAGAUUUGUAAUAAUCAUAUCAGUUUUGGAUUCUUUAUUAUUGAAUAUAAGGAUUUUAAUAUAAGUUUUUGUUAAUAGUUGAAGAUACUAUUCAGACGACGAAGUAGAGAUAAAUAGAAAUUAUAAAUUUAGUGCUCGUAAAUUUGAGUUGCAAAGAGGACCACCUCGUAACUCUUGAAUGACAGAAGUGAGGAGAUCCGCACGCUGUGGAAACAAUUCUGUACCUUAGUUUUAGUUAUUACUAAUAGCCCAAUGUCGCAGACGCAUUACAUCGAUCGUAAGAGUCAGUUGCGGAAACCUGAACUGUGGGAGAGCCACCCAGAAUAACUGAGGACACAUAUCGUCACACCCGUCGUAGUCCAUCGAUGCACACCCGAGUCUUCCAGACCUCAAGGAUUUCUGCAUACACGAUCCGGCAAACGACAUAAAUCUUCGGCAUCGCCAAGCUAUAUUUCACGGCUAUUAUGGCGUGAAUAUAUAGGCUCUAUGCUACGUUUUUCGAUAAAAUAAUGGUUAAAUUGAUCAAAUAAAUUUUUACCCUAAAGUCUCGA